AGUGAACGCUGGCGGCGUGCCUAAUACAUGCAAGUCGAACGGACAAGUAAGAGCUUGCUCUUAUGAGUUAGUGGCGCACGGGUGAGUAAUGUAUAGUUAAUCUGCCCUACACUGGAGGACAACAGUUAGAAAUGACUGCUAAUACUCCAUACUCCUUCUUAACAUAAGUUAAGUCGGGAAAGUUUUUCGGUGUAGGAUGAGACUAUAUUGUAUCAGCUAGUUGGUGAGGUAAUGGCUCACCAAGGCUUUGACGCAUAACUGGUCUGAGAGGAUGAUCAGUCACACUGGAACUGAGACACGGUCCAG
rnacentral:rRNA from 1 species